rnacentral:rRNA from 1 species
CCUACGGGUGGCAGCAGUCGGGAAUAUUGCGCAAUGGAGGAAACUCUGACGCAGUGACGCCGCGUGCAGGAAGACGGCUUUCGGAUUGUAAACUGUCUUAGAUAGGGAAGAAACAAGAGAGAAGCUGUAAAAUAAGCUCCGGCUAACUACGUGCCAGCAGCCGCGGUAAUACGUAGGGGGCAAGCGUUAUCCGGAUUUAUUGGGUUUAAAGGGUGGGUAGACGGGAAGUCAAGUUGGUUGUGAAAGCCCUCGGCUUAACUGAGGAACUGCAACCAAAACUGACUUUCUUGAGUGCUGUAGAGGUAAGGGGAAUUCCUGGUGUAGCGGUGAAAUGCGUAGAUAUGAGGAAGAACACCAGUGGCGAAGGCGACUUUCUGGACAGUAACUGACGUUGAGGCACGAAAGUGUGGGGAGCAAACAGGAUUAGAUACCCUAGUAGUC